GAGCUGAAUCCAGCUUGAAUGUUGUGUCCAUACUUGCCCCAACCGUUCAGGGUUCAACCUCUGCGGUCGUAUAAAGCUGUGCCCUGCGGAGCAUCUGGUUGUGUUUUGGUCUGUUUUUCUUAAACUAUAAGUAAUAGGUCAACUAUAUUUGUUGUAUGGAAGCAUUGUUAGCUGUACAUGUCUGCCUGGCAUGGUUCGUCUGACCUUGACCUCAUUUUCAUGGUUCAUUGGUCUUUGAUUAGUUAUCUUGGUUAAUGUUAAGUUUAUG
rnacentral:lncRNA from 1 species